rnacentral:rRNA from 1 species
UACAGAGGUGGCAAGCGUUGUUCGGAAUUACUGGGCGUAAAGGGCGCGUAGGCGGUUCGUCAAGUCCUGUGUGAAAUCCCCCGGCUCAACUGGGGAACUGCACAGGAAACUAGCGGGCUUGAGUUCGGGAGAGGGAAGCGGAAUUCCGGGUGUAGCGGUGAAAUGCGUAGAUAUCCGGAGGAACACCGGUGGCGAAGGCGGCUUCCUGGACCGACACUGACGCUGAGGCACGAAAGCUAGGGGAGCAAACGGG